GACGAACGCUGGCGGCGUGCUUAACACAUGCAAGUCGAACGGAAAGGCCCUGCUUUUGUGGGGUGCUCGAUUGGCGAACGGGGGAGUAACACGUGAGUAACCUGCCCUUGACUUUGGGAUAACUUCAGGAAACUGGGGCUAAUACCGGAUAGGAGCUCCUGCUGCAUGGUGGUGGUUGGAAAGUGUCGGCGGUUGGGGAUGGACUCGCGGCUUAUCAGCUUGUUGGUGGGGUAGUGGCUUACCAAGGCUUUGACGGGUAGCCGGCCUGAGAGGGUGACCGGGCACAUUGGGACUGAGAUACGGCGCAGACUCGUACGGGAGGCAGCAGUGGGGAAUCUUGCACAAUGGGCGGAAGCGUGAUGCAGCAACGCCGCGUGCGGGAUGACGGCCUUCGGGUUGUAAACCGCUUUCGCAUGUGACGAAGCGUGAGUGACGGUAAUGGGUAAAGAAGCACCGGCUAACUACGUG
rnacentral:rRNA from 1 species